rnacentral:rRNA from 1 species
GAUGAACGCUGGCGGCGUGCUUAACACAUGCAAGUCGAACGGAAAGGCCCAAGCUUGCUUGGGUACUCGAGUGGCGAACGGGUGAGUAACACGUGGGUGAUCUGCCCUGCACUUCGGGAUAAGCCUGGGAAACUGGGUCUAAUACCGGAUAGGACCACAUUUUGGAUGGUGUGGUGGAAAGUUUUUCGGUGUGGGAUGAGCUCGCGGCCUAUCAGCCUGUUGGUGGGGUAAUGGCCUACCAAGGCGUCGACGGGUAGCCGGCCUGAGAGGGGGUACGGCCACAGUGGGACUGGGAUACGGCCCAGACUCCUACGGGAGGCAGCAGUGGGGAAUAUUGCACAAGGGGCGCAAGCCUGAUGCAGCGACGCCGCGUGGGGGAGGACGGCCUUCGGGUUGUAAACGCCUUUCGCUAGGGACGGAGCGUUAUGUGACGGUACCUGGAGAAGAAGCACCGGCUAACUACGUG